GACGUAGGGCGCGAGCGUUGUCCGGAAUUAUUGGGCGUAAAGAGCUCGUAGGCGGCUUGUCGCGUCGUCCGUGAAAACCCACGGCUUAACUGUGGGCUUGCGGUCGAUACGGGCAGGCUGGAGUUCGGUAGGGGAGACUGGAAUUCCUGGUGUAGCGGUGAAAUGCGCAGAUAUCAGGAGGAACACCGGUGGCGAAGGCGGAUCUCUGGGCCAUUACUGACGCUGAGGAGCGAAAGCGUGGGGAGCGAACAGG
rnacentral:rRNA from 1 species